CGCACAUUGCGCCCUCUGGUAUUCCGGAGGGCAUGCCUGUUCGAGCGUCAUUAUCACCCCUCAAGCCUGGCUUGGUGUUGGAUCUCGGUCGCGCGAGUGACCGGUCCCAAAGACAAUGACGGCGUCUGUUGGACCCUCGGUGCAAUGAGCUUUAACCAGCACGCACUCGAGUUGCAAGGACCUUCGGCCCGGUCUCCUUUUAACUAUUUUUACAAGGUUGACCUCGGAUCAGGUAGGAAUACCCGCUUAACUUAA
rnacentral:misc_RNA from 1 species